AAUGAGAGUUUGAUCCUGGCUCAGGACGAACGCUGGCGGCGUGCCUAAUACAUGCAAGUAGAACGCUGAAGCUUGGUGCUUGCACCGAGCGGAGGAGUUGCGAACGGGUGAGUAACGCGUAGGUAACCUGCCUGGUAGCGGGGGAUAACUAUUGGAAACGAUAGCUAAUACCGCAUAAUAGUGCUUACUGCAUGGUAAGCAUUUGAAAGAUGCAAUUGCAUCACUACCAGAUGGACCUGCGUUGUAUUAGCUAGUUGGUGAGGUAAAGGCUCACCAAGGCGACGAUACAUAGCCGACCUGAGAGGGUGAUCGGCCACACUGGGACUGAGACACGGCCCAGACUCCUACGGGAGGCAGCAGUAGGGAAUCUUCGGCAAUGGGGGCAACCCUGACCGAGCAACGCCGCGUGAGUGAAGAAGGUUUUCGGAUCGUAAAGCUCUGUUGUAAGAGAAGAACAGCGAUGGGAGUGGAAAAUCCAUUGUAUGACGGUAUCUUACCAGAAAGGGACGGCUAACUACGUGCCAGCAGCCGCGGUAAUACGUAGGUCCCGAGCGUUGUCCGGAUUUAUUGGGCGUAAAGCGAGCGCAGGCGGUUAGAUAAGUCUGAAGUUAAAGGCUGUGGCUUAACCAUAGUACGCUUUGGAAACUGUUUAACUUGAGUGCAGAAGGGGAGAGUGGAAUUCCAUGUGUAGCGGUGAAAUGCGUAGAUAUAUGGAGGAACACCGGUGGCGAAAGCGGCUCUCUGGUCUGUAACUGACGCUGAGGCUCGAAAGCGUGGGGAGCGAACAGGAUUAGAUACCCUGGUAGUCCACGCCGUAAACGAUGAGUGCUAGGUGUUGGGUCCUUUCCGGGACUCAGUGCCGCAGCUAACGCAUUAAGCACUCCGCCUGGGGAGUACGACCGCAAGGUUGAAACUCAAAGGAAUUGACGGGGGCCCGCACAAGCGGUGGAGCAUGUGGUUUAAUUCGAAGCAACGCGAAGAACCUUACCAGGUCUUGACAUCCCUCUGACCGCUCUAGAGAUAGAGUUUUCCUUCGGGACAGAGGUGACAGGUGGUGCAUGGUUGUCGUCAGCUCGUGUCGUGAGAUGUUGGGUUAAGUCCCGCAACGAGCGCAACCCUUAUUGUUAGUUGCCAUCAUUUAGUUGGGCACUCUAGCGAGACUGCCGGUAAUAAACCGGAGGAAGGUGGGGAUGACGUCAAAUCAUCAUGCCCCUUAUGACCUGGGCUACACACGUGCUACAAUGGCUGGUACAACGAGUCGCAAGUCGGUGACGGCAAGCUAAUCUCUUAAAGCCAGUCUCAGUUCGGAUUGUAGGCUGCAACUCGCCUACAUGAAGUCGGAAUCGCUAGUAAUCGCGGAUCAGCACGCCGCGGUGAAUACGUUCCCGGGCCUUGUACACACCGCCCGUCACACCACGAGAGUUUGUAACACCCGAAGUCGGUGAGGUAACCGUAAGGAGCCAGCCGCCUAAGGUGGGAUAGAUGAUUGGGGUGAAGUCGUAACAAGGUAGCCGUAUCGGAAGGUGCGGCUGGAUCACCUCCUUU
rnacentral:rRNA from 1 species